rnacentral:tRNA from 1 species
GUAGAGCACAGUGAUAGAGCACUUGCCUAGCAUGCAAGGGCCCUGGGUUCAAUUCCCAGUAC